UUUCCGUAGGUGAACCUGCGGAAGGAUCAUUCAUAAUAAAGUGUUUUAUGGCACUUUUUAAAAAUCCAUAUCCACCUUGUGUGCAAUGUUAGAUCUCGUCAAUCUUGGCGAGAUUUUUAUACAUCAACUCAUUCUUUAACUAUUUUGUCUGAAAAAUAUUAUGAAUACUUAAUUCAAAAUACAACUUUCAACAACGGAUCUCUUGGCUCCC
rnacentral:misc_RNA from 1 species